rnacentral:rRNA from 1 species
AGGCGACGACGGGUAGCCGGCCUGAGAGGGUGAUCGGCCACAUUGGGACUGAGAUACGGCCCAGACUCCUACGGGAGGCAGCAGUGGGGAAUAUUGCACAAUGGGCGGAAGCCUGAUGCAGCGACGCCGCGUGAGGGAUGACGGCCUUCGGGUUGUAAACCUCUUUCAGCAGGGACGAAGCGUAAGUGACGGUACCUGCAGAAGAAGCACCGGCUAACUAUGUGCCAGCAGCCGCGGUAAUACGUAGGGUGCGAGCGUUGUCCGGAAUUACUGGGCGUAAAGAGCUCGUAGGCGGUUUGUCACGUCGUCUGUGAAAUCCUAGGGCUUAACCCUGGACGUGCAGGCGAUACGGGCUGACUUGAGUACUACAGGGGAGACUGGAAUUUCUGGUGUAGCGGUGGAAUGCACAGAUAUCAGGAAGAACACCGAUGGCGAAGGCAGGUCUCUGGGUAGUAACUGACGCUGAGGAGCGAAAGCAUGGGUAGCGAACAGGAUUAGAUACCCUGGUAGUCCAUGCCGUAAACGGUGGGCGCUAGGUGUGGGGUUCCUUCCACGGGCUCCGCGCCGUAGCUAACGCAUUAAGCGCCCCGCCUGGGGAGUACGGCCGCAAGGCUAAAACUCAAAGAAAUUGACGGGGGCCCGCACAAGCGGCGGAGCAUGUGGAUUAAUUCGAUGCAACGCGAAGAACCUUACCUGGGCUUGACAUAUAGAGGAUCGCUACAGAGAUGUGGUUUCCCUUGUGGCUUCUAUACAGGUGGUGCAUGGUUGUCGUCAGCUCGUGUCGUGAGAUGUUGGGUUAAGUCCCGCAACGAGCGCAACCCUU